UGGGGAAUAUUGCACAAUGGGCGCAAGCCUGAUGCAGCCAUGCCGCGUGUAUGAAGAAGGCCUUCGGGUUGUAAAGUACUUUCAGCGAGGAGGAAGGCGGUAAGGUUAAUAACCUUAUCGAUUGACGUUACUCGCAGAAGAAGCACCGGCUAACUCCGUGCCAGCAGCCGCGGUAAUACGGAGGGUGCAAGCGUUAAUCGGAAUUACUGGGCGUAAAGCGCACGCAGGCGGUCUGUCAAGUCGGAGGUGAAAUCCCCGGGCUCAACCUGGGAACUGCAUUCGAAACUGGCAGGCUAGAGUCUUGUAGAGGGGGGUAGAAUUCCAGGUGUAGCGGUGAAAUGCGUAGAGAUCUGGAGGAAUACCGGUGGCGAAAGCGGCCCCCUGGACAAAGACUGACGCUCAGGUGCGAAAGCGUGGGGAGCAAACA
rnacentral:rRNA from 1 species